UACGGGGGGGGCAAGCGUUGUUCGGAAUUACUGGGCGUAAAGGGCUUGUAGGCGGCUUUGCAAGUCGGGUGUGAAAGCCCUCAGCUCAACUGAGGAAGUGCGCCCGAAACUGCAGAGCUUGAGUACCGGAGAGGGUGGCGGAAUUCCCCAAGUAGAGGUGAAAUUCGUAGAUAUGGGGAGGAACACCGGUGGCGAAGGCGGCCACCUGGACGGUCACUGACGCUGAGACGCGAAAGCGUGGGGAGCAAACAGG
rnacentral:rRNA from 1 species